UACGUAGGGUGCAAGCGUUGUCCGGAAUUAUUGGGCGUAAAGAGCUUGUAGGCGGUUUGUCGCGUCUGCUGUGAAAUUUCGGGGCUCAACCCCGAACUUGCAGUGGGUACGGGCAGACUAGAGUGUGGUAGGGGAGACUGGAAUUCCUGGUGUAGCGGUGAAAUGCGCAGAUAUCAGGAGGAACACCGAUGGCGAAGGCAGGUCUCUGGGCCAUAACUGACGUGAGAAGCGAAAGCAUGGGGAGCGAACAGGA
rnacentral:rRNA from 1 species